rnacentral:lncRNA from 1 species
AAUAUGAGUUAACUAUUUAAUACCUUUAAGAUUUCAUAUUUACUUUUGAUGAUAUGUACAUUUUAAUACGUAUAUGGCAAUAUCAUUGGUAGAUACACUAUUUCUAACUUAAAUUUUAAAAUGUGGUAAAAACAUAAAAUUGAAAUACUAAGAAAUGUUACUUUAACACUUUUAUCCUCAAAUUUGGAUUUCUGGAUGUUUCUAUAGGUCGAACCAAUAAUUAAAGAAUUGAUAGUAACAAAAUGGGUUUUAAUAUUGAUUAGAAGAAAAUUAAAUUAGGUUAAAGAAAAAGGAAAGAGUAGACGAAAAGUUAAAUAAAUUUUAAUAGGGUUUUAAUAUUGAUUGAUAUAACUCUCUGACUCUUCUGUGACUCUUUUCAACUUCUGACUCUUUCUCUUUCGCUCUCUCAUUCUUAACAAGAAAAAAAACUGGCAUCAUCUCAUCAUGAGGAACUCUUUUCCUCCUUCAGACGGUGGGAGAUCGACGACUGAUCGUCGUCAGCAGUCGUUUCCCUCAUCCUCAACGAACCGUUAUAACUCUCGCUCUGCACAAUCUUCUCCGCCGCUCAACCACUGUACUACUUGGAACCAGCAACACUCUCAGUACCAUAACACUAAUUUCCCGCCAAAUUACAGACGUGAUCGUGCUCCGUCGUCGGGAUUCUCUCCUCCAGUCACGCGGGCUAGGCCUAAUUUCAUCGUUCAGCUGCUUCACCCCGCCGCCGCUAACAGUGACACAAAGCUGUCUAAGAAGCAAGAGAUCGAGAGUAUCGCUUUGCUUUGCGAAAUUCCGGAGGAAUCAGUUCACGUGCCUCAAUUUGGUUGUAUCGCUGCAAGCUUCAGUUUUCGUCAGUGGGUCGAUGCGCGUUCUGCCGUUGUGGCUCUUUGGGAUUAUCGUCUUCAAGGGAGACAUGAUUUUGUUCCUGAGCUGAUUCCUAAUGUUGUUGUUCCGUCUGACAUGGACGAGCUUAAAGACAGGCUUCGUGAUCUUUUCUCGUCUCAUGUUCUUUCGCUUAUGGAAAAUGGACAAGGGGUCAAGAAGGUGAGAAUGGAGAUUGAUGACAAGUCUCGUCAAGUUGCGUCCUUUUCGUCUAAAAGGGGUCUGAAAUUUGAGGUUUUUGAGAAAAAGAAGGCUCUUGAAGCGGAGAGAGAUUUGGUUGUGAAUCGGCUUGACGAAUUCAAUAAUGCCAUGAAGAGCAUUUUGCGAUAUCUCAUAGGACAAGACGGGUAUGAGUUUGAUGUAGAUGAUGAAGAUGACGAAGACGUGGCCGUGUUUUCUUUGGAAGGGGCCUAUGAUUGGAGACGUAUUCAUUAUUUGAUUCUUAGAGAGUGUCGAAGGCUAGAGGAUGGACUGCCUAUCUAUGCCUACCGGCGGCAGAUUUUGAAGAAAAUUCAUUGUGAACAGGUAUCUUUAAGAAUCUCCAAGUUGACAAGUGCUCUUUGGGUCCAAGCUAGUUUUGAAUCACUUGAGUACAGAUAUUCGAGUUAUGCUGUUGUCUUGUUGUACUAGUUCAUAUUGUCUGCUAAGGUUCAGUUUUAUAAAUGAGUCUGUGUUUGGUCAUUUUGAAUUGAUUUUAAUUGUGUUUGUAGAUAAUGGUGUUGAUUGGAGAAACUGGUUCAGGGAAGAGCACUCAGUUAGUUCAGUUCCUUGCUGAUUCCGGAGUUGCUGCUAGUGAGUCGAUUGUUUGUACACAACCACGGAAGAUUGCUGCCAUGACAUUGACUGAUCGGGUCAGAGAAGAAAGCAGUGGUUGUUAUGAGGAAAAUACUGUUUCUUGUACUCCAACUUUUUCGUCUACUGAGGAGAUUAGUUCCAAAGUUGUAUACAUGACGGAUAAUUGUCUGCUUCAGCACUACAUGAAAGAUCGGAGUUUGUCUGGCAUUUCAUGUGUUAUUAUUGACGAAGCUCAUGAAAGAAGCUUAAACACGGACCUUCUUUUGGCAUUGCUUAGAAAGUUGCUAUCCAGAAGGAUUGACCUGAGGCUUGUUAUCAUGUCUGCCACGGCUGACGCCAACCAACUUUCACAGUAUUUGUUCGAUUGUGGUAUUCUUCAUGUCAAUGGGAGGAACUUUCCGGUGGAGAUUGUAUAUUCCCCUAGUGGCACAGAAGAGAAUUCUGUUGUUGGCCGCAUUGCUUCAUAUGCUGGUGAUGUUGUUAAGAUGGCAGUGGAAAUACAUAAAACAGAGAAAGAAGGAACCAUCCUUGCAUUCUUGACUUCCCAAGCAGAGGUAGAAUGGGCAUGCGAAAGGUUUGUAGCUCCGUCUGCAAUUGCUUUGCCUUUGCAUGGAAAGCUUUCCUUCGAAGAACAAUUUAUGGUUUUCCAGAACUAUCCUGGGAGACGAAAAGUGAUAUUUGCCACGAAUAUUGCAGAGACGUCGCUGACUAUUCCUGGUGUCAAGUAUGUAAUUGAUUCCGGGAUGGUGAAAGAGAGUAAAUAUGAACCUAGAACGGGUAUGAGCAUCCUAAAGGUGUGCCAGGUCAGUCAGAGUUCUGCUCGACAACGUGCUGGUCGUGCUGGAAGGACAGAACCCGGAAGAUGUUACAGGCUCUACUCAAAAACCGAUUUUGAUUCAAUGAAUCUUAAUCAAGAACCUGAAAUUCGGAGGGUCCAUCUUGGUGUAGCACUUUUGAGGAUGCUUGCUUUGGGAAUAGACAACAUAGCGGCUUUUGAGUUUGUUGACGCGCCUGUCCCGGAAGCCAUUGCAAUGGCUAUCCAAAAUCUUGUUCAGUUGGGUGCAGUCGUUGAGAAGAACGGUGUUCUUGAAUUAACACAGGAAGGGCAUUGUUUAGUCAAGCUGGGGCUGGAACCAAAGCUUGGAAAGUUAAUUUUAGGCUGCUUCAGACACAGAAUGGGCAAAGAGGGGAUUGUUCUUGCUGCUGUCAUGGCUAAUGCUAGUAGUAUAUUUUGCAGAGUUGGUAACUUUGAUGAUAAGAUGAAAGCUGAUCGCCUAAAGGUAUGAUUCUGAGCUCCCGGUUAAUUUUUUUGUUGUGGUAUUUUUCUUCCAUAGAAUGAUUAACCCUUUCCUGUUAUUUUACGUUUUUAAUUUACCAGUAUACACAGGUUUUGAACUUUUUUAGUUUUAAAUCUUCUUACAGCCUGCUUGAAGAUAUGUUCUAAAGUUUUUUACUUUGUCAUCUUCUAGGUGCAAUUCUGCAAUGAUAAUGGAGACUUGUUCACUCUUCUUUCGGUGUACAAAGAAUGGGCAUCUCUGCCACGAGAUAGAAGAAAUAAAUGGUGCUGGGAAAAUAGCCUGAAUGCCAAAUCAAUGAGGAGAUGUGAAGACACAGUCAAGGAAUUGGAGAUAUGCAUUGAGAGAGAACUUACUCUUGUCAGCCCUAGUUACUGGGUUUGGAAUCCAAAUGAGGGUACUAAACACGACAAGUAUUUGAAAAUGGUUAUACUUGCAUCUCUUGCAGAAAACGUGGCGAUGUACACUGGCUAUGAUCAGCUUGGAUACGAGGUGGCAUUGACUAGUCAACAAGUUCAGUUACAUCCAUCGUGUUCAUUGCUAGCAUUUGGCCAGAAGCCAAGCUGGGUUGUUUUCGGGGAACUUCUAUCUAUUGUGGACCAGUACUUGGUAUGUGUAACUGCGUUUGAUUUUGAAGCUUUGUAUAUGCUUGAUCCACCACCACCUUUUGAUGCAUCCCAGAUGGAUGAGCGGAGGCUCCGAGUUAAAAAAGUGGUUGGUUGUAGUAGCACUGUGCUAAAACGAUUCUGUGGGAAAUCUAAUCGUAGUCUGCUUUCAAUUGUUUCUCGUGCUAGGUCUCUUUGUUCGGAUGAAAGGAUUGGUAUCCAAGUCGAUGUCGAUCAGAAUGAGAUUCGACUGUAUGCGUCUCCCCUCGACAUGGAAAAAGUGUCAGCCCUUGUGAACGAUGCAUUGGAAUGUGAAAAGAAAUGGAUGCGUAAUGAAUGUUUGGAGAAGUAUCUAUUUCAUGGUCGGGGACAAAUACCUAUUGCACUGUUUGGAUCUGGUGCUCAGAUAAAGCAUCUUGAAGUUGAUCAGAGAUUUCUGACAGUCGAUGUACAUUAUUAUGGCGACGAUGUUGUUGAUGACAGAGAGCUUCUGACGUUUCUGGAGAAGAAGAUUGAUGGGUGUAUCUGCUCUAUUUACAAGUUUGCUGCGAACAAGCAAGACUGUGAUGAGAAGGAGAAGUGGGGUAGAAUAACCUUUCUCACUCCAGAAUCUGCUAUGAAGGCAACAGAAAUUCAGAAAUUUGAUUUCAAAGGAUCAGUGCUCAAAGUAUUUCCAUCACUGUCAACUGGUGGAGGAAUUUUCAAGAUGCCUUAUUUCUCUUCCGUGACAGCUAAGAUUCGUUGGCCGAGAAAGGAAAGUAGUGGUAGAGGAUGCCUUAAGUGCCCUUCCGGAGAUAUUCACAGUAUACUUGGUGAUAUAACCAGCCUUGAGAUAGGAACAAAUUAUGUCCAUAUUCAGAGAGAUCAACUGUCCAAUGAUUCUAUCUUGAUAAGUGGACUUGGAGAUCUUUCGGAAGCAGAAGUUUUAGAUGUUUUGGAAUUCAGAACGCAGAGAAGAGAUCUGAAUUUUUUCAUAUUCAGAAAAAAAUACAGUGUGCAGUGCCCAUCUCCUACUGCUUGCGAAGAAGAGCUUCAUAAGAGAAUAUUUGCGCGCAUGUCAGCAAAGAAUCCAGAGCCAAACUGUGUCCAAGUUCAAGUUUUUGAACCAAAAGAAGACAAUUACUUCAUGCGAGCGUUAAUUAAGUUUGACGGGAGAUUACAUCUCGAAGCUGCAAAAGCUUUGCAAGAGUUAAAUGGGGAGGUGUUACCUGGAUGUCUUCCAUGGCAGAAGAUAAAGUGCGAACAAUUGUUUCAGAGCUCCAUAAUCUGCUCCGCUUCUAUCUACAACACUGUCAAAAGACAAUUGAACGUUUUAUUAGCAAGGUUUGAGAGACAAAAAGGUAAAAUUUCUACACAACAUUUGAGCUUUUGCUCUUUAAUUUUCAUUACCUUCUGUCAACAAAUAACCUUACUGAAUGUCUACUUCUGACUCCGAUAUUGAUUAAGAACAAUUGUGUAGGGUAAGGGAUAUUUGAAGAAUGCAUAAGCUUAUGUGUCCUAUUUUUCCUGUGAACUUGUCCAAAUUUUGAUGUGCAUUAACGUUUGUUUAUAUUUUUGUAGGGGGUGAAUGCUGUCUGGAACCAACUCAUAACGGGGCUUAUCGUGUUAAAAUUACUGCUUAUGCAACAAGACCCGUUGCGGAGAUGCGGAGAGAGCUUGAAGAACUCUUAAGAGGAAAACCCAUAAACCAUCCAGGCUUCACACCUAGAGUCGUGCAGCAUCUUAUGUCCAGAGAUGGUAUUAAUCUGAUGCGGAAGAUCCAACAGGAGACAGAAACUUACAUUCUAUUAGAUAGGCACAAUCUCACAGUACGCAUUUGUGGAACAAGUGAGAAAAUUGCCAAGGCAGAACAAGAACUGGUUCAGUCACUUAUGGAUUAUCAUGAGAGCAAGCAACUUGAAAUCCACCUCCGAGGUCCUGAGAUCCGUCCUGACCUCAUGAAGGAAGUUGUGAAGCGGUUUGGUCCGGAGCUCCAAGGUAUCAAAGAAAAGGUGCAUGGUGUGGAUCUCAAGCUCAAUACCCGGUACCAUGUUAUUCAGGUUCAUGGGAGCAAAGAAAUGAGGCAGGAAGUACAAAAGAUGGUCAAUGAACUUGCACGAGAAAAGAGUGCACUGGGUGAAAAACCAGAUGAGAUUGAACUUGAAUGCCCCAUUUGCUUGUCUGAAGUUGAUGAUGGCUACUCUCUUGAAGGAUGUUCACACCUCUUCUGCAAAGCUUGUUUGUUGGAGCAAUUUGAGGCAUCGAUGAGAAACUUUGACGCAUUCCCAAUACUUUGUUCUCACAUAGACUGUGGAGCUCCAAUAGUAGUCGCUGAUAUGAGAGCCCUCUUAUCACAAGAGAAGCUCGAUGAACUCAUCAGUGCAUCCUUGUCCGCUUUUGUAACAUCCAGUGAUGGAAAGUUGAGGUUUUGCUCCACACCUGAUUGCCCUUCCAUCUACCGUGUAGCUGGACCUCAAGAAUCCGGUGAGCCAUUCAUCUGUGGAGCAUGUCACUCAGAAACAUGCACAAGGUGUCACCUCGAGUAUCACCCGUUAAUCACUUGUGAAAGGUACAAAAAGUUCAAGGAGAAUCCGGACUUGUCGCUUAAGGACUGGGCAAAAGGGAAGGACGUAAAGGAGUGUCCGAUUUGCAAGUCGACGAUAGAGAAGACUGAUGGGUGUAACCAUCUGCAGUGCCGGUGUGGAAAGCACAUUUGUUGGACCUGCUUAGACGUCUUCACUCAGGCAGAACCUUGUUAUGCCCAUUUAAGGACAAUUCAUGGUGGAAUCGGAUUAGUCGAGUUAGGUGUCCCAGAGCACCCUGUUGCCCAGCCUGUUCACAGGCUUUGAAACCGGACUGGACCCAUGUAUCUAUAUCCUGUAACAUCUGGUUUGCUUAAUGUGUACAUAUAUGUGAACAUAGUGUAGUUCGGUAUAGUACCUUCUUUAACCAAUUGAAUGAACCGAUCAUAUUCUAAUCCGGAUGCCAAAUAAACUAAAGAUUGUUGUAAAUGAAAGACUUGGGACUUGACUCGCUACAUCACUGAUUACGCGUAAAUGUCUACAGAGAGUUUACUAAGUUGAAAGAAAACUACUUCCUAACAUACAGAGACAUCGCCAUUAAUGGCCUUAACUUAAGAGUCAAAAAAACAUUUGAUGGGCCUACCCUUAAUUAAAAGCCCAAUUCGAUAUUCGAAUCGAACCCACCGGCCUAACUAAACUGUUCAGUGUCCCCAAAUCUUUUUGCAACUUCUUUCUUCUUCAUAUUCUUCUCACCGUGAAGGCGUCGUCACCGCCGAUGUUAUUAUCUCCGGCGAUGUUUUCUGAUCAUCACUGCUUUACUCUUACUGCGAGGUUGGUUAUUUUCAAAUCUUCUUCUCUCCGUUCUUUCUUUCGAAGUCAGAAACUUUGCCGCCAUUUUCAGUAAAAGGGUUGAUUCUACAUUCCCUAGAAUCAUCUAAUAACUAGGGUUUUCAUUAGGUUACGUAUUGGUUAAAAUUAGUUGAAAUCAUGUUUCUUAUUUCUCUUUUCGAACUAAAUUUGGUAAUCAGAUCUCUAGAGUGUAUGAUUUGUCAUAACAUCUAAUCGAAAUUAGAAUCCGUAUAUGUUUCAUUCAGAGAAUAAAUCCUGACUUGUUAAUUUGAUAUAGAAUGUCAGAUUCUGAUGAAGCUAAAACGUCGGAGGAAGAAUCUCAACUUGCUGAGCAAGAAACAGAGACUCAAGAAGGUGAAAUGACUAAAAACUUAAAGAAAAGAGAUCUUGAUGCAGUAGAAGAUGAAGAUUCGAAUAACGAAAGCUCCAGAUUAGAGAAACUAGAGAAGAAGAUAAAAAAAGAAACAGCGAGGAAGCUUGAAACUGACUUUGUGCUAACAGGGGAAGAGGAUGAUGAUGCAUUGCCCUUAGCCUGUUCCAUUUGCCAAAACCCAUUCUUGGAUCCUGUUGUCACCAACUGCAACCAUUACUUCUGCGACAAGUGUGCUCUAAAGGUAAUCUUUUCCUUACAACAAGUUUCGUAAUUUCUGAAAACACACUCAAAACAGAUUUUCCUUGUUAUUUUUUUUCAUAAUGCAGCAUCACACUGAGAACGAUACUUGUUUUGUGUGUAACGAGCCAACUCUAGGGCUUUUCGACACAGCCGUGGAGAUCAAGGAAAGAAUAGAGGAAGAACGUGAGAAAGCCAGAGGUUUGUUAAAAACGCAAAACUCUCUGUUUUGACACCAAAAACCUACUCUUACAAAACUCGCUCGGUGAUGUCUCUUUGUAGCCAUGGUAAAGGAAGUGACAGCAAUGUUAGAAAAGGCAUCGACAAUGGCGGAUGACGCCAAGGGCGUAGCGCAAAAGGUUGUAAAAAUGGUGGAGGAGAUUGAAACAAUGGUGGAAAAAGUGGCGGCUAUGGCCACAAAGGCGGGAGAAACGGCGACAAUGGCGGCAGAUAUGGUGAAAGAAGCUGAGGAGACGAUGGAAACAGCUAAAGCUAAUAUGUCCAAAGCCUUUGUGGUAAUGAAGUCGGUGAAUUGGAACGUGUAAAUCGGGUCAAAACAGAGUUUUAUUGUGAUCUCAUGCUGACAUCAGCUACAAUCUUUAUCUAAUAAGAUAGAUUCUCACAAGAUUCUUUUAUCUAUCUACUUUUUAGAGAAGAUGAGAUCAUACUUCGGAGAUAGAUAGGUGUCGUAAAAAUUGGGAAGCUUACUUGGCAGGAGAAGAGAGAUAUACACACGUGCUUAAAGUCAACAGCUAAUCCAAAAAGGUAGACGACAAACCAGUUAAACUAAGACACGUAAUCUAUCUUAAAGAUUUGUCGGUUCAUCGUAAAUCCGUUGGUGGAUUAAUAUAUGUCGGUGUCUUCGUUGAUUUUCUUAGCCUAACCAACCAAACAUAAAUAAAAAUCGAAGCUUUACUUUGUUUGCUUCUAUUAUAUCCACUUCCAACAAGAUUCCUCAAAAGGAAAGAAGAGAAAGAAGAUAAGAGAUAUCUGGUUGGUCGGAGAUGGAGAUGAUCGGAGGAGACGAUACAGAUACAGAGAUGUACGGAGCUCUAGUGACGGCACAGUCCUUAAGGUUGCGUCAUCUUCACCACUGCAGAGAGAACCAGUGUACCUCUGUUCUCGUCAAAUACAUUCAAGCUCCUGUUCAUCUUGUACGCUCUUCUAUUCUCUCAUCCUCUGUUUUUCUUUCUCUGUUUUCUUUAUGUACUUUGUUGAAGUUAAUUCUGUCUGAUUCACCGGGAAAAUGAAAUUUCGCCGGAUUUAGGGUUCCCGAUCUUUCUAUUUUUGUUUGCAAAUUCUCGUUUUUUUUUUAGUUUACUUGUUGGUCUCUCUUAGUCUUAAAGCUAAGGAUAGUGAAUAUACAUAUAUGAUUCAGGUUUGGUCACUGGUGCGGAGAUUUGAUCAGCCGCAGAAAUACAAACCAUUUAUAAGCAGAUGCACUGUAAAUGGUGAUCCUGAGAUCGGUUGUCUCAGAGAAGUAAAUGUCAAAUCUGGUCUUCCAGCAACCACCAGUACAGAGAGAUUGGAACAGCUUGAUGAUGAAGAACACAUCCUCGGUAUCAACAUCAUUGGUGGUGAUCAUAGACUUAAGGUGACUAAAUCCAAAUCUCAUAGUAUUCAGAAACAUUAGCGGUUGCUAUAAUGGUUAUUGUUUUCUGCAGAAUUACUCUUCGAUCUUGACUGUGCAUCCGGAGAUGAUUGAUGGAAGGUCAGGAACUAUGGUGAUGGAGUCUUUUGUUGUGGAUGUUCCUCAAGGCAACACCAAAGAUGAUACAUGUUACUUCGUGGAAUCACUCAUAAAGUGUAACCUCAAAUCCUUGGCUUGUGUCUCUGAAAGAUUGGCUGCUCAAGACAUUACCAAUUCCAUCGCAACUUUCUGUAACGCUUCCAAUGGAUACAGAGAGAAGAAUCAUACAGAAACCAACCUUUGAAGAUUUGGCUAGAUUAGUCCCACGAACAAACUCAGUGAAGGAAAUUUAGAUUCAUAGAAGCACGUGUGAUCAUGCUUCUCUGCUGCUUUACUCAGAUCAGCUCCAUGGGCCAUUUUCGAGCAUGCAGUCAAAGUUUUGAUGUAAUUUGUUUUCUGGUGUUUGUUGGACAGUGUCUGUAUUUACGCACCAUUGUUAGAAAAAACAGAGCUAGGUAGUAUCUAUAUUAUCACCAAGAGUCGUUGCAGGAACAUUUUCCGUCUCUGAAAUGAUGAACCCUUGCCCCUUCUUGUAAAACAAUCUCACGGUUUCUCAAAACCGACAUGUAUUUGGCUACGGUGUGGCUAUCAGAACAUAUAUUCGUGUUUUUGACCACUCUUAUAGGAGCUAAGCCUUUCUUCUUGAUAAGGCCAUACGUCAUUGCUAACUUCUCUGUAUGUCCCAUAAGCAGCUUCUCUUUCUCUGAAUCACUUAUGUCUUGGUGUAUACAGCUUGUGUCUGGCACAUAACCUGAUUUCUUCAUCUCAGAGACUAAUUUGUACAGCUCAAAGUAUAUAUCUCCUUCAUCAGGAUGUGUUUUUCCCUCCGCAUAGAAGAUGUGAACCGUUUGAUCUAUCUGAAUCCAGCUCCACAGAUCCUGGACUCUCACCCUGUUAUUCCUCAUUAAGUUCCGUAUACGUUCAACAUCUUCCCAUCUGUUCAAAUUACUGUACAAGUUUAUCAUCAUCAUGUAGUUAGCUGAAUUGUGUGGUUCUAGUACUUGAAGCCUCUUCCAAGCGAUUUCCGCGAGUUCUAGGUCUCUAUGAAUCUUACAAGAUGAAAGAAAAGCACCCCAAAUAGUUGCAUCGGGUUUUAAUGACAUUGUUUGAAUGAAGUCCCAGGCUUCAUCAAGAUAACCCGAUCUCCCGAGCAGAUCUACCAUGCAAGAGCAGUGUUCGAUGGUCGGGAUUAUACCAUAACGAGACCUCAUAAGAUCAAAGUAUUUCCACCCUUCUUGGACAAGACCUGAGUUCUUACAGACAGACAAGACAGAGGUAAACGUUAUAGCAUCUGGUUCCAUGCCCGCUUCAAGCAUCACACUGAAAGCCGCGAUCCCUUCUUCGCCUCGCCCAAACAUGGCAUAACCCAUGAGCAUACAGUUCCAAGAAGCUAGCGAUUUGUUCUUAAUGCCCCAGAAAAUCUCAAUCGCACUUUGCAGAUCCCCUGAUUUUCCAUACAUAUCUACUAGUGCAGUUGCAACAUAUGCAUCGCAGAUCAAAUUUUUCCUCAAACAGAAACCGUGAACCUCUUUGCCACUGUGUAGUAGACUUAAGCAACCUAAUAUCUUAAGCAAGGUGGACAUAGUUGCUGCGUUCGGACCAACACCUUCUUCCUGCAUUUUAAUGAAAACUUUGAGAGCAUUCCUGAAGUUUCCAUUUUUGGAACAUCCUGAAAAAAUGGCUGUCCAUGAAACCACGUUAGGGGCCACACCUUUCUCCUUCAUCUUCCCUAUCACAUCUAAUGCCUUCUCAGGUUUCCCCAAAGUCGCAUACCCAGAAGCAAGACUGUUCCAUGUAAUAGCAUCAGGUUUGAUCCCUUCCUUCUCCAUUCUAAUCAUCAAAGCUUCAGCAUCCUUUAGAAGACAAGCGUACGAAAGUCCCGAGACGAGUGAAUUCCAAGCAACAAUGUUCUUCGCAUCCAUCAUAUCAAAAACCAUCCGGGCGUAAGGCAAGUAGCCAGUUUUAAUAUACAUGUCGAUCAAGGUGGUUUCUACAUACACAUCGUACCAAAGCUGAUUUCUUAAUAUGUAUCCGUGGAUCGCUUUCCCAAGUUUAAGAUGCCCCGGUUCAGCUACAGCUUGAAGAAGACUACUAAUUGAGCUCGUGCUUGGCUUCAGACCAGCAAUUUGCAUUCUCUUCAAUACAGCAAUGGCAUCUUUGGAUAAGCCUUUAGAAGCAUAACCUGACAAAAGAGAGUUCCAUGUCACUAUAUCUGGCUUCAGACCACAUAUCUCCAUCUCGUCCAGGAGACCGAUAGCAUCAUCUACAUAACCAAGUUUCGUAUAACUCGAUAAAAUCGAGUUCCACGAAGACAAAUUCCGGUCUUUCAUCGAGUUAAAAACUUUCCUGGAUAAUUCAAGCUUGCCAUUCCUCGAAUACAUGACAAUCAAAGAGUUACACAUAGACACAUUUGAUUCAAGCCCGAGUCUCAGAACAUACCCAUGAAUCUGUCUCCCUUCUGCAAAACCUUCCUUAUUGCUACAAACUUGCAAAAGCUUAACCAUUGUGCUAUCAUAAGCUUUAGCACCAGAAAACUGCAUCUCUCUGAAAAGUUCCACAGCCUUUUCCCAAUUCCCACUCCGCAAGUUUACCAUUACGAUCUCGUUCCAUGCAAGAUCAUCUCUUUUAGGCAUUUCAUCGAAUAACUUGUUAGCAAAACCCAAACUCACACAUCUUCCAUAAAAACCCAUCGACGCAGAAACCACUCGUGUGUCUGAAUUAUCAAGCCCUCUCUUGAUCAAACCACCAUGGAUAGUUAAACCCAGAAACCGAUACAUUAGAACAGCACAAAUUCUCAAAACCAUAGCGAGAACUACUUCAUCAAAAUUUACUCCUUUGUUCUGUAGCUGAACAAAUUCCUCUAAGACCCUAUACUUUUCUACUCCGAAAUUCUCAGCCUUUUCCAAAAAAUCCCUCCAUGAAACUUGAUUCCGAGGGAACCCCAUGAAGAACACAGUACUAGCAUAUCCAAAUUCUUGAAAUUCAAGGUAACGAGUGAUCAAGCUCUUAGCGAUGAACUCCAAUUCGAAUCGAUCGAAUAACUUCAUCAUCCGAGCAUGAGUAGCUUUAACAGAAACCAGAUUUUUGCAUCCAUUUAGCUUCUUCAACGGAUAAAAAUCCCAACUUGGAGACGACGGUUCCAGAGAUAUUGAGAAUGGUAUAGAUUCAAACGACUCAUGUUUGAUUUCCAGAGAAGAACAAGAAAAUGAAUGGUUACCUAGAUAUCUUCGCUGCGAGUGAUGAAGAAACAAGGAGCUGUAACAAUGGCGGUAAGUUGAAGAGAAGUUCUCCAUUUUAUUCACUUCACAGUUUCCGGAUAAGAGGACACUAUCCGUUUUAUUGGUAUUUUCACUACGAUCUCAGAAACGCAGCGUUUUAUAUGUUUGAAGAAGAUUCACUAGCAGAAGAUAGCAAAUUACUCAUCUAAACACUACAAAAAGUUGAGAAAGAUUCAACAUCAUUCUCAAGUGUUCUUACAACAAAAGCAGCAACUUACAUAAGCUUGAGCUAUUAGUGUUCAUCUUCAAGAAUGAUACAAGACAAGUAAACAUUUUUUCAUGAAACUAAUCUGUGAUAGUUUACCAUUUUUCCCUUGGAGUACCAUCAGGGAACACAGGAGUAAGUACUUUCUCUUCUUUCUUUCUAGGACUACUUGAUUUUCUACUUGAAGGACUUAAUCCAAUCUUCACGCUAUCUUCUUCUUCGUCUUCAUCAUCAUCAUCAAAGUUAGGAGGCACAUCUUCCUCUCCUUCGUCAUCUGUCCAAUCGCCAUCAUCAUCAUUGCCACCAUCUUCACCUUCCAAGUAACCAUCAACAUCAGACCAUUCUUCAGCAUCACUUUCUUCUUCUUCCUCCUCACCAUCUGCAUCGCUUCCAUCGAUCUCUACCUCUCUUCCUUCUUCGUCUUUCCUGGGUCCUCCUCUCCUUGGGAACCUUGGUACAGAAACAAGUGCACGCAUCUUCUCUUUCACAAGAGUUAAAGGAUCUUUAUCUAUCAAUUCAGAGUUCCUGUAAGCUUCUCUUAAGAACACCGAGUCUCUUUCACCUUUCAAAGACACGUAGAAGAGAUCAGGGUGCCUAAUAAGCAUUCCCCUCAGUUGUUGUGAGAAUCUGAAUUCCUCACGGAAAUGAGUCAAGUGAUCCACCAGCGUUCUUUUCUCAGUCGUUAAGCUCAAAAGCUCAUGAAUAACCCCACAAGCAUGCUUUUCUUUCUCGAGUGUUCCCGACCUCAAGUGGGAGAAAUCCUUGUAAGGAGAUAUAUACUGCAUGUCACGGAACUGAGAUAUCUUCCUCGUCUCACUCUUUGAAAGAUUGAGACCCCUUGGAAGCUUAACCCUGUUGAACUUAGGUGGUCUAUCAAUAAUCAAAUUCCUUUCUUCUGACUCUCUAGUCCUAUUAUCAUCCUCAGAUAACUCAGCAGCUGACACUGCAAGCUCAGGAUCCCAGUGAGUCAACUCUAAAGCCGGACCUCUAGGCGUAGGAACCACACGGAAAUAUUGCGGGUAACGCUGACAAAUCGUGUCGCGGAACUCUAACGGAAGCCCUAAAUCAGUCUUCAAAUGGGAAAUCUUCUCCAACAAUAUCCGCUUAUCAAUAGACAUCAUCACCAGUUUCCUCAGCUUAACAACCAGUACAUCUUCAAGCUCAUUCCUAAUCCUCAUUUCGUCAAGGUACAACCUUUCAGCCUCUGAUGUCAUCUUAAAUCUCAAAGAAUAAGCUCCUUCUUCAACUAUCUCAAACACACCAGGAUAUUUCCUAAGCAGAGCUAUAAACCGACGACGUUUCUUCAAACCCAAAUCUCUCCUGUACUUACCCAAACCCCUAAGAGACAUCAUCCUAUCAGGUUGACUCACAAGAAUCUUCCUAAUGUUCAACACUAACUUAAGUUUCUUAUCCCUUUGAACAACGCUAUCGAAAGUAAGCUCUUUCCUUCUCUUCACAGCAGCUCUCACAGGCUCAACAACAACACGAGUUUUCCUAGAAGUACUCCAAAACCCAUACUUGUUCCCCAAAAUCAAACCUUCCCCCAUAAACUGAGACCUCGCAGCUCGAAUUGUGGACAUGGGCAAACCGGAUUUGACCGAAAGCUUGGUUUUUUCAUUGAAUGGAGAGUUACAAGAGACAAACAAAGGUUUAUGUGCAGAAAGCAGAAGCUUGGGCUCCAUUUCUGAGACUCCAAGCCUGUAAAUUGAUAACUCCUAAUAAGUAUUCUCCGACGAAAAAUUGAUUCCAGGAAAUAAAAAAAUCUUACCUUAUCCCUUCGGUUCAAUCUAGUAAGAGGUUCUGCAGAAGAAUCUGUUUCUGGUCGCGAAGAUUUGGAUUGGGGUUUAACGAUAAAAGUCAUAAAACCCUCUUCUUUUUUCCAGAAUGAUGUGUCCAUCUCUCUGAUAUCCUCUUAUUGGUCUUUAACGUAAUAUUUGACCAGAAGCAGGGGUAAAUAUGGAAUUAACAUCAUUCCAAAAAUCUCCUAGUUCUAACGAUGUUGUUUCGUUCUCUGUUUCACUGGUGAGAAACUCGAUGGCGAGGAGGCGACGUUCAUCGGCGGCGGAGAGUUUGAAACGGCGGAACGACGGAUACGAGUCACUGUGUCAAGUCGUACAACAAGAUUCAGAUCGGAGACUCAUCACCAUUUUCGUAAUCUUCUUCAUUGUGAUUCCCGCCGUUUCGAUUGCUGUGUACAAAGUCAAAUUCGCUGAUCGAGUCAUCCAAACGGAAUCAUCAAUACGUCAAAAGGGAAUCGUUAAAACUGAUAUUAAUUUCCAAGAAAUCCUCACUGUGAGUUCCAUAGUUUUGGGUCAAUGUUGCAAUUCAAAGAAGAAAAGCUGAAAACUUUAGGAUGAAUUUUCAUUAAAUUUGGUUUGAAUUUGUUUCAGGAACAUUCCAAGGCUUCAGAGAAUUCAACUAGGCACUAUGAUUAUCCAGUGUUAGCUUACAUUACUCCAUGGUUGGUUUCUUUGGAACAUUUUUAGAUUUGAGAUAUUGAAAAUAUACAAAUUGUUGUCACUGAGGGCAGUAGGGAUUGGAUUCAUAUGCUAAAAAUGCUGUGUAGGAACUCUAAAGGCUAUGAUAUGGCAAAGAUAUUCAACUCAAAGUUUACACAUUUAUCGCCGGUAUGGUACGACCUGAAGAGGUAUAUUGUAUACAUUUGUUAAUGAGUUCUAAGUUCCUGCAAUUAUCUCAUGGUUUCCACAAAAUAGUAGUGACAUUUUUGGUUUCUGUUUCUGGUAGCCAAGGGUCUGGAUUGGUUUUGGAAGGGAGACAUAAUGCUGAUAAGGGAUGGAUUCAAGAGCUUCGGUCAAGAGGCAAUGCACUGGUAGUUUAACCAGCACACCUAUUUUUCUUCCUUCUCUGAAUUGGCCAGAGAUCGGUACCCGGAAAAUGCUGAUGUUUAACUUGUUUUUCCUUCUUUGAUUGUCUGGACUUUUUUCCCCUUUUAUGUAGAUAUUACCAAGAGUUGUUCUAGAAGCAAUUCCUGGGGAGAUGCUUAACAAAAAAAAACUAAGAGAGAAAGCUAUCAGUCUUAUUGUCACAGAGUGCAAGUAAGGGUCUCCCAAAGCUCUACAAUUCCUGUAUAUUUCAUGCUCUGAAAAGGAUGAAUUUCUUUACAUUAGAGCUUGUGAAUUUUAACACUUACCUUGUCAUCAUGUUUGCCUUGAACUCUAGGGAAAUGGAAUACAAUGGUAUCGUGUUAGAGUCUUGGUCAAGGUGGGCAGCUUAUGGCGUUUUGCAUGACCCUGAUUUGCGGAAAAUGGUAUGCCCUGUAAUCUCUUCCAGGCCGCUGCGAUUUUUUUUCCACAUAAUGCAUCAUGUCAGCAAGCUUUUUUAUAAAUCUUCUAGGCACUGAAAUUCGUAAAACAACUUGGAGACGCUCUUCACUCAACGAGCUCACCAAGAAACAACCAGCAACAUAUGCAGUUCAUGUAUGUCGUUGGUCCGCCUCGUUCAGAGAAGCUCCAAAUGUACGAUUUUGGGCCAGAAGAUCUUCAAUUCUUGAAAGAUUCGGUUGAUGGGUUCUCUCUUAUGACCUAUGAUUUCUCAAAUCCCCAGAACCCUGGCCCCAAUGCUCCUGUCAAGUGGAUAGAUUUAACUCUCAAGCUCCUGCUUGGGUCAUCCAACAACAUAGACUCAAACAUAGCCAGGAAGGUUCUUCUUGGUAUCAACUUUUACGGCAACGAUUUUGUAAUCUCUGGAGGUAUAUAAAGCAUCCAAGCUUAUAUAAGCAACUUGUUCUCUUCCCGCCUUUCUUUCAAAACCAACUGACAUAAACUGUUUUCUUUUGCGCAAGAUUCAGGAGGUGGAGGAGCAAUCACCGGAAGGGAUUACCUCGCAUUACUCCAGAAACACAAGCCAACUUUCCGUUGGGAUAAAGAGAGCGGCGAACAUCUUUUCAUGUAUAGAGAUGAUAAGAACAUCAAGCAUGCUGUUUUCUAUCCUACAUUGAUGUCAAUCCUUCUACGGCUUGAGAAUGCUCGUCUCUGGGGAAUCGGCAUUUCAAUCUGGGAAAUCGGACAAGGUUUAGAUUAUUUCUUUGAUCUAUUGUAAGUUCCAUACAUUGCAUCAUGUUAUGUUUUCUUAAUGUUAUACUUGAUCCUCUUUGUUCACUUAAAUCAAAUGCUGAGGAACCUUUUGUAUCUAGUCUAGUCUCUGUUCUUUGUGUUCUAGAUAAAGGACAUUUUGGUAAAUAUGCAGAGGCUUCUCUUGAAGCAUCUUCAAUAUUCUCUGGCCACACAUUUGACAUGCAAUUUCGGACUAAGUAAGUCACUAUGCUUUAGUCCUCUACACCAAAACAUGAUCAAGAGGUAUCUCAUCCGAAUAUUCCACGUGUCAAGCAAGCGGUGGCUAGGAUUGAUUACACAGUCCACGUCAGCUCUCUAGAAACGGCUCAAUGCUCUUGUCCUUGACACUUUUCUUCCACUUCUUCUUCAUCAUCUUUAAUCGUUGGGAAAAGUUUGAUGAUACGGAGUGGACAAUUCUUGGUGUAGAAGGAGAAUCUGAGAGAGAGAGAGUCAUGGAAGCUCUGAAAACCGCAACUUUUAGCCCUAUGUCGGUGUUAUCCGAGAAAAGAUCAGAACCACGAAAGCCUUUCUCGCUCCCUAACCUCUUUCCACCAAAAUCACAGAGACCAAUCUCCCAAGAAAGCUUCUUGAAGAGAUUCAAUGGUGGAUUGGCUCUUCUAACUUCUGUUCUAAGCAGUGCAACAGCUCCUGCUAAAUCCCUGACGUACGAGGAAGCUCUGCAACAAUCUAUGACCACUUCUUCAUCUUUUGAUUCGGAUGGUCUGAUUGAAGGGAUAUCCAAUUUUGUCACAGACAAUCCUUUGGUUAUUGCCGGUGGAGUUGCUGCAUUGGCUGUUCCAUUUGUUCUGUCUCAGGUUCUGAACAAGAAGCCCAAAUCAUGGGGAGUUGAGUCUGCUAAGAAUGCUUAUACCAAGUUGGGUACUGAUGAUAAUGCUCAGUUGCUUGACAUAAGAGCUACUGCUGAUUUCAGACAAGUGGGCAGUCCUAAUAUUAAGGGUUUGGGUAAAAAAGCGGUUUCUACUGUUUAUAACGGUGAAGACAAGCCUGGUUUCCUGAAGAAGCUUUCUUUGAAGUUUAAAGAUCCUGAGAACACCACAUUAUACAUUCUGGACAAGUAAGGCUCUUGGAAUCUUACAAAAUAUAUUGAAAGUUAUAAUAUUGAGGCUUAUAGUUACAUUGAGUAGCUUAUAUUGUCUGAUCACUGAAUAAUUAUAGUCUCAGCAUUCCUUCAUUAUCUAUGAACCUGUGAUUGUUUGCUUUGUGGAAGAAUAUUCAAACUUGAGUAGUGAUAAUCAUAAGUGUUAUUGUACAUCUGAUAGAAUAUUGCAAUGGGAGAGAAAUUGAAAAGCAUUUUAGAUUGCACACAUUGUUGUUAAUACAGUCUAACUCUUUGAAUGGAAAGCCAGGUUUGAUGGAAACUCUGAGCUUGUUGCUGAAUUGGUGGCUCUUAAUGGAUUCAAAUCUGCUUAUGCGAUUAAAGAUGGUGCAGAGGGACCUAGAGGCUGGUUGGUGUGUGUUCCCUUUCCUCUUAUCCCACAAUGUGUCCUUCUUCAACAAAUCCUUUCGAUUCGACUUAUUUACAUUUGUCAUUAUAUAUCUGGUUUGCAGAAUAGCAGCUUGCCUUGGAUAGAGCCAAAGAAGACUCUCAGCCUUGAUUUAAGCAGUUUGACGGAUAGCAUCAGCGGUGUAUUUGGUGUGAGUAUCCAAUUUUACAUUCAUUUAAUUUAAGUUUCUGUAACAAACAUCGAACAAUGAUUUAACAUAAAUGUACAGGAGAGUUCUGAUGGUGUAUCUGUCGCUCUUGGAGUAGCUGCUGCUGCUGGAUUAAGUGUUUUUGCAUUUACAGAGGUCAGUCUUUCGGUAUUAUCCCUCUUAUUGUCUCCAGAAAAUUCCGGUAUUAAUCUUAUAUCUAUCAUCAUCCCUACAGAUUGAAACCAUACUCCAACUACUAGGUUCAGCUGCACUUGUUCAACUUGCAGGCAAGAAACUUCUAUUUGCUGAGGCAAGUUCUUCCCAUCUUUUCAUUCAUCAAGAUUCAGUUUGAAUGUAUUUAUCGCAAUUGGUGAUGUUUUGAUGGUUACUUUUCUAUACUCUCUACAGGACCGAAAGCAAACUCUAAAACAGGUGGAUGAGUUCUUGAACACAAAGGUUGCCCCUAAAGAACUUGUUGAUGAGUUAAAGGUAACUAAUUUAGAUACAUAUCUCCAUUAGUAAUAAAACCCUUUAUAGAAAUAACUCUACGUGGAAUAACAGGAAAUAGGAAAGGCUCUUCUUCCUCAAUCAACAAGCAACAAAGCUCUCCCAGCACCAGCAACAGUAACAGCAGAAGCAGAAUCAGCUACAGCUACAACCACCACAGUCGAUAAACCAGUACCUGAGCCAGAAACAGUUGCAGCUACAACAACCACUGUAGAUAAACCAGUACCUGAGCCAGAGCCAGUGCCAGAGCCAGUGCCAGUGCCAGCGAUUGAAGCUGCAGUCGCUGCACAAGUAAUCACAGAACCAACCGAAACAGAAGCCAAACCAAAACCUCAUUCAAGACCUCUCUCUCCAUAUGCAUCGGUAAUGUUUCUACUUUCUCAUAAAGAGGCUCUUUUGGUGGGAAAUAAAGAAACCUUUAAGCUGUUUAUAAUUAUAAUUUGGACCUCCGUUGAUCCUUGAAGAAGUAUCUUUAUGAUUUACGAGUUCGUACAUGGGUUUCUGUUAUCGUUUAUUAAUAUGAUGUCUUUCUUAACUCUUUUACAGUACCCUGACUUGAAGCCUCCAUCUUCUCCGAUGCCAUCGCAGCCCUGAAAACAGCUAAGAACAGUCUCUCUCUCGUUACUUAGUCUGGUUUUGUCCUCCUGCAAACAGAAGAACAAAAGUGGUCGAAUAUUGUAACUUGUUCUUUUUUCUCUCGUUUUUUCUCCCGAACUUAGAUGCUACUUUGUGUCGAAUCUGAGAUAAGUGGACUUUGUUUUGUUUUUCUCCCUUUAUACCACCAUUGAGUUCAAACAAGAGUCUGUCAUCGCGUUAAAGGGGAUCAGAAGCUGUGUGAGGGGUGUAUUGGACGAAAUAAAAGUUGUGGGGAAAUUUCCAAAUAUCUUGUGAUUACUGGAUCUUGUGGGAUAGAUCUCUUUCUUUCUCUUAUUCUGGAUUCCCUAUACAUAACAAAAAGGUUAAAUGGGGUAAUGAAAAGUGUGACAUAUACUUAGCAUAAACCAAUGUGUAGAAUAAUCCAUGUUUCCUUUAUUAAGUGCUAUGCGUUAAUCGGCAUCUAUAAAGUGUUGCAUUGAUGAACAAAGUGGAUGCCUAAACUAGACGUUUAACUAAAUGUUUAGAAUGAAAUCUUCAUCUCAUCUAAAAAGUGUUGCAUUGAUGUAAAAAGUGGAUGCCCAUUAGUUCUUGGCUUUGAAAUGUUUUUAGAAUGAAAUCUUCAUCAAUCUCCAUAUGUGGUUCAAUCCACUCAUUUUAUCUUUUGUUAAAGAUGUUCUUCAGGCCAAUAUAAUGAUGACCAUGGAUGGUUUGCAACUCGCAUAUAACACUUCUUUAUCCGAUGGUUACAAGUAUUACAUGGCUAUAGAUAGCUUUUGCAUGCAACAAAUUAUCUAUCAAAGUUUAUGCAUCCUCUAAAAUAUGGUCAUUGGCAAGCCACUAAACGUAUAUAUUGUGACAAUGUAUGAUGAUAUAUUUUUAUGUGUUGACUCCGUUUUUCAUUAAGUAAUGAAACAUGUUGCUCUAGAUUACCAUUUUAAUCGCAAACAUAUAUGUUGCUCUACCACGCAUUGCAUCAAAUGAUAAGCUUGAGGACGCUUCGACAAAAACAUAUUUCUCCUUCUUCUUACUGAACCAAAUGACAAUUGACAAACCCCAUUAAUAAAAUCGGUUAGUGUUAAUGUGUCACUCAUAAUAUUAACUUAGUAAAGAACAAGACCACAUUAAUUAAAUCAGGUGUUAGUCUGAGAAUAUACGUUUCUCUUCCUCAUUCCAAACUUAAAUUCGGAAUUUACUGAGAAUAUAUUGUUAGCACUGAAAAAGGUUAAGUUGAAAGUUUGCUAGGGAUGGCAAUUAAAUAUAGUCUUGCCUUGGGGAUAUUCCCUUCGUGGACUUGUAAGUUUAUUUAUAGGUCCUCUUAUGUAUAUAUAGAUGAUCUAACGAUCGAUAUACUAUGAAAAAAGUUGUUACUAGAUUUUAUUGCAGGUAAUAGUGUUGAAUAACCCGAACCAAUAAAGCAGUUGUAACGAACACACGACACGUUGCUUACUGCGAGGACCACUUUGUUUUUUGUUUUUUUUGGCUUUAAGCCAAUUUAGGACCAAAUUUGCAUGAUUGAGGAUGCAAGUAUCCAACCCAUUUUCAUCUUUCGUAGUGACACUCAUUUACUUUUGUGAUGGACACGUUAUAGUAUAUCUUAAAUAUUAAAGAGACAUGAUUGGGGGAUCAUUGUUUUAAUUUAAAUAAUGUAGAUUCUAUUCUUUUCAUGGUAUUAAUCCAAUUUAUAGAAAGUUAUGUGUUAUUAGCAAUUAAGCUAAAUGAUGAAAACAAUCAGUUUAGUGAAACAAACUCGCCGAGAAAACAUGAAUGGUUGAAAAUAUUAUUGUGUUUUACAAACGUACACGAGGACAAUAGUUUUGUAAGUUUUUCUUAGGCAUUGAAAAAUGUUUGAUACAAAAAGUAAUGUUAAAAUAAUUAAAAAUGAUUUUGUCUUAAUAUAUCCAAAAUUUCAAUCUAUUAUGAACAAAGGGAGUAUAAUUUCUGAUUGAAUGAACUGGAAUAGCAAUCAGAAAAGCUUUGAAAACAAUUGUUGUUGAUUAUUAAUGAUCUUAAUUAACGGCAUGUAUCAAUAUUUAUACAACUUAUGUUCCAGUCCAAGCCAUCACAACGGAGUAAAUGAAGUCACGGGUACUUGUGGUUUUUAUUGGUUGCAAACUUGCAACUUGCAAAGAUAGCUAACAAUAAUUAAUAUAAUUAAUGAGAACAAAACCAAUUUAGUAAAUUAAAAUCCUUUAACAUAGAAACCGACCAAACCCGUUGGACCGUUGGUUACUUGAUUUGGUUAGUUGCUAUAAAUAGAAAUGAUGGUUCGUGUGCAACCUUCAAAAUACGACCACUCUCUCAGAGUACUCUCUUAGUUUCUUUCUUCUUCUUCUUUGUAAUACGGUGCCGUUUGACAUGGAUAACCAUCGCAGGACUAAGCAACCCAAGACCAACUCCAUCGUUACUUCUUCUUCUGAAGGUAAGCUGAAAACUUAAACACCUUCGUUUUCUCAUUUUUCCAUGUUUUUUUAUACUUAUCUAUAUAUAAUGAGAAAUCUGAAUUUUGGUGAUGACAAGGAACAGAAGUGAGUAGUCUUGAGUGGGAAGUUGUGAACAUGAGUCAAGAAGAAGAAGAUUUGGUCUCUCGAAUGCAUAAGCUUGUCGGUGACAGGUUUGAUCUUUUAACUAAUAAUGAAUACUAUUUCGUAGGAAAAUAAUUUAAUUGUAACACCAUAGUAAAAGCUGAAUUUUGUGUGUUAUUAUUUGAUGAAAGGUGGGAACUGAUAGCUGGGAGGAUCCCAGGAAGAACCGCUGGAGAAAUUGAGAGGUUUUGGGUCAUGAAAAAUUGAAAAGUGAUCAAUAUAUCUCUAUAGUUUCACUGAUUGUUUCGAUUAUAUUCCGUUGUAUUUUAAAUUUACCAACUCUGUUAUAAGAAGAAAACUUUCUUAAAUCCCAAACCAUUUAACUCUCAAGAACCAUUUAUUGUGUGGGCUACGAAUAUUUGGGCCUUCCAAGCCUAAAUUUAUUUUUUUGCCAUCCUAGUAAUUUCUAGAAGCUAAGUCGUAGAUGUUGUACGUGGAUAUUUCAUUAAUUUCUGCUUAAAGCCUUAAACACUUGACACAUGAAAGUGGCAAAUAACCUACUUCAAAACAAAACAAAAGUGGAAGUCGUUUUACAAGUCAUAAAAUGACAUGCUGUCUUCAGGUCCCACACAUGUUUUCUGUAUAUUUGUCGUUAACGCUAUUUCACCUACUCCACACACACACACUUAUUUUCUUGGUCAUCCACGUUUUAGACUUUUAGUUUUUCCUUAAUCUCUGAUCCAUAACCACGAAACGGACGAUCUUCAAUAAAAACCCAUAACGUAUCUCAUUACCAAACAAACAUAUUGUUGAAAUCUAUGUGUCUCACUGAUGAUCUAUAUAUGUAACUCUUGAGAUUGCAACAAAUGUUUAGAACUUGAACAAACUGUUAUUUUUAUAAGCCAUAUAUAUAUUUAACUAUUGACGAUAGACAAUUGAUGAUUCUCUUGAACAAUAUUUAACUAUAUAUGCAACAUCUUCUUCUAAGCUGAUCUUAAUUGCAACAUCUUCUACGAAUUAAUCAAAAGCCAAAAACAUAUACAAAUAAAAGUUGAGACAAACGAAGCAAAGAAAAGUAGAACAUACAUAUACAUACAGAAACACAUUUGCACAAAUCCCACCGUUGAUUAUACAAAUCAUAUUAGAACAUCAAAUAUUUAGUGGUUGCCAUUUUGCUCUAACUCUUUUUUGUGGGCUUUCCACUUUAAGGCCACAAGACUAAGUGCUUUUGUCGAAGUCCCAUCAUCCUUCAACACCCUACAAGCUGCUUCCUUCAACUCCUUCAUCUUGUUCCUCACUCCUUUGCCUUCUUCACCUUCCAUCAAUCCUUUUACCACUCUAGCCACCUCUUCUCUUCUAACUAACCCAUCGUCCCCGGCACGCGGCCUAAGUGCCGCACGAAUAUCUUCACUCAACAAAACCGCAUUCAUCUUCUGUUCUGCGUAUAAUGGCCAUGCUAUAAGUGGAAUACCGCUUACUACACUCUCUAGAGUCGAAUUCCAUCCACAAUGAGUUAAAAAUCCUCCCGUGGAUGGAUGCGCCAAGACUUGGGCUUGUGGAGCCCAAAAAGGGAUCACAAAACCUCUUUUUUUAGUCCGCUCUAAAAAUCCCGGUGGUAAAAAUGUCAAUGGAUCUGUUUGGCUAUGUGAAUCAAAAUACGACGAAUUAGCGAUCCCACUAGGACUUCGUAUGACCCAAAGAAACCGUUGCUCACUAUCUGCAAGACCAAGAGCAAGCUCAUUGAGCUGCUCACAUGUGAGGGUACCGCCACUACCAAAGGACACAUAUAAAACCGAACCGAGCGGCUGGUUAUCCAACCACUUUAAACAUUCAGACUCUUCGGUUUGCUUAGCCUCUUGCUUACCAAUGUUAACCAACGGUCCAACCGGAUAAACCGGUGGUUUAUCAAGACCCGGUUCUUGCAAGGCCUUUAUAGCAUUUGGCUCUAGCUCAAAGAAGGUAUUCACAAGAAUACCUUCGGCUUCUUUGUACCUCUUGGUGUUAUGGAGAAGCCAUUUGUAUGCAUCGUCUUUCCGGUCUUGGGCCGGGUCAAGGAAAUCUUUCCCGGCAACCGGUACACAUCCAGGAAGCAUAAGCGGUUCGGUUAAUUCCCUGAACUCACACGACACCGUUUCGUCUAGUUUAGGCAAAUGGAGAAAAAACGACAAGACGUUGGCCGUUGUUGGGUAGAAAAUAUACGGUGGCACGUGAAAUUCUACGGCCACGUCGAAAGCGUCCGUACCGAAGAGAUCGACGACGAGCGCCGUUGGCAAACGACCUCCCUCCACGAACGAGUCGAAGACUUUCCGGAGCUCCGGGUUUGAACGAGUCACGGUGAGGGAGAUCCGAGAUUCGAUGCGAGUGGACGAAGAGAGAUCGGUGAGAUCAACAGGAGGGAGAAAGACGGAGGAGAUUGAAGAAGGGAGAGAGUCGAGGACGGUUCUCUGAGCUUUUGAUGGUGGACCUUCGCCGGCGAUGACGAAGGUAACGGUGAGGCCGUGAAGAUGGACGAGUCGUUUAGCAAACUCGACGAGUGGUAUGAGAUGACCCAUUCCCGGACUUGGUAUGAUCGCAACGUGAGGUGUUUUGGAUUCCUCCAUUGAUGCAAAUAUUCAAGAACUGAUACUUUGUUCUUUUUUCUUCUUUCUACUUUUGUAGUUUGUGAUUAUUAUCUCCUUUUUUCUUUUUUUUUUUGUAAUUUGUGUGGUAUUAAGUAAUGGCUUUAUAUAGAGAGUUUGUGUGAAUCAUUGAGAGGAGAAAUUCUAUUUUCUAUUUACUUGUAUGUGUUUUUUUUGUAGAAUGUCGCUUGUGGCGACCAUGUUCGAAUAUGAAUAUUUUGGUGACCGAUUAUUUAAACUAAAAAAUCAUCAUUUACGUAAUUCAUUUUUAUACUUAUUAUUUUGUGAUUUCUCAUGUUAAUAUGAAAUCAACCAUUUAAAUUGUGGACAUAUUAAUACAUUUUGAUUUUCAUGUAGAUUUAAAGUAAAGCAUUUAACAAGCUGUGUAAAAUAUAUUCAUAACUUACAUAAAAUUGGGAAUUAUACAUAAUAAUGCUAUUAUAUAAUAUCCAUAAUUGAAACCAAUAUAUAUAUAUAUAUAUGUUUAUUAAAUAUGGUUGCCAAAAGAAUAUAUAUAAAAUUUUCAAUUAUUGGAGAGGGGUAGGGAAAUUGUUGAAAAAAAUUAGUGAUGACCAGCUUUUUUGUGAUUGUGGGUCAAUUAUAUUUGUGCGUGUGAAAUGUCUUGAGCGCACGUGUGAAUAUGUGAUGAAAUGCAAACGUAAUGCUUCCGCAAUGAUUUUUCUCCCCAAUUUUCUUAGCUAUAAUAAAAUAAAAUUCUUUCGCUCUUUUUUUUUUUUUUUACCAUUAACAUUAAAUUUUGGAAUGGUAAUUUGCUAUUACAUAAAAAAUUCUAUAAAUUAAUAAUAUUGGUACCAUAAAAUUUUAUUAAUUUAUAGUGAUAUUAGUUUAUCCUAUAAAUUAAUAAAUAUUUAUAAAUUUUUUUACGUAAAAUACAAUAUUAAAUUCUUUUAAAUAUGUUUUUUAAUUUAAUUUUUCUUAUAUUUUGUUGUUCGUAUAUUCAAUUAUGUUAAAAAUUAUUUUUCUCUUGACUUUUUAAUUUAUUUUUUUACAAAAUAUUGUGUCCGUAUAUUUACGACGUUAACGUGAGGCUUAAUCCAAUUUUUUUUAACACAAAUCUUAGCAAUGAUUAAAAAAUGUUACAAAACCAAAUAUGACGGAUCAAAUACGUAAGGAGUUAUGUGAGUACAAAAGAGAUCAUACCAACUGUACUCUAAAAAGAGUUGUAAUUGUGGCUUGAAUAAAAGUUUUAGAUAAAAUUAGUAUUAGAAUGUAUGCUUAAGAUUUAUGAUUAUUAAUUUAUGAUAUUAUUAGGAUCAUAUUUUUACAUAGGGAUUUCAAAAAGAUUAUUAUCUUAUUAUCUUAUCGAUUUUGGUUAAUUUUUACAUUGACCCGACUUGAGACCGACAAAAUUUAUUAAUUUAUCGUGUUUAUUAAUUUAUCGAAUAUUAAUUUAUAGAGUUUCUACUGUAUUAUUUUCUUUCAUAACAAUGUUUUUCUUUUAUUUGCAAAACAUUUUGCUCUAUACAAAUUAAAAAAUUGACUUCUUGAAAUAUUUUAGGUCAUAGUGGCGACGAUAAAAAGGCAUAUAAUCAUUCAUCGAUAGAUUAGUUUUUAGCAUUUGUUUGAGUGAAGAAAAGUGAAAGUGGAAUUUAUCUCAUAGCCCAUCAUUUUUGUUAUGAUUUACAAAAUUGAAUAUAUGUCCAUGUCCCGCUAAAUCAUAAAGCCUAUUAACUCAUUAUUAUAUCUUUGUCAAUUCGACUUGUGUUGCAUCACCAAUUUUUAAUGAAUAACAUUGCCCAGCUAAACUUAUUAUCACAUAAAGGAUAGUGUGAUAAGUGGUUGGAAUUUAAUAAUUUUGUAUGUAUUUUUCAGCCAGUUUGAACAAGUAUAAGGUAGCAUUAAAUCAAAGAAAAGCUGUCGCAUCAAUACAACUUUUAAACAGAUAUGUUAUCAUAAUUUCAUACAGAAAUAAAUAAAUUAUUUCCACGAGUAAAUAGUUGCUAUAGCUACCAAAUGUCCAAAGAAAUAUAUACAACCAAUACUAAAAAACAAAUUACACAAUAUUGUGAAAUCAAAUUAUUUGUUUUCGAUAUCUGCCAAAUUUGCUGAAGUUACCGAAUGUUCAUCGUAUGGCAUAUGUCACCAGUGACGACUGUCAAUGAUUAUUGGACGAUCCGCACAAGCUACAAAAAACGGUAUGACGACUAUGUCUGGUAAAGUAGAAUGGCACGGUGUUUUUAAUUUAUUCAUUAGCCUCAAAUGUUUUAUUAAUGUCACUGGUAAGAAGGGAUCAGGACAAUCAAAUUAUGGUGUAGGUGCCUUUUUACACAUGUAUGUUUAAUCUUUCAUGUUCACGGAUCUCAGAUUUUAGUUAUCCUCGAUGGGCUACUAGUGAAUACUUUGCAUAUAAAUUGAUCUCUAACUUACAUCUUUUCUGAUUUCAAGUUCAGUGCUCACUUGUUGCAAGAUGAGUUCUUCGUCCACUUUAGAAAUAUUAUUGAUGUCGUUGACUUGGAUUACAAGAAAAGAGAGUAUUACAAAAAAAAUCAAAACAGAGAGACUACAUGAACAUUAAAGACAUGAAACACUAAGCAACACGAGGCAAAGCCGACAACACUAUAUAAUAUAUAUGAACAUAAACAAACAGUCAUCAAUAAAAAGACAAAAGAUCAAUGUAAACAUCCCAAUUAACAAGACGAAACUCAACUACAACUGACCUAAGAACAAACGCUCUCAUGAUGAUGAUCACAAAAACCAUAGGUUUUAAUUCAUAGGUUUUAAAAAAAUGUUUUUCUUUCAUUCAAAAUGCGCAUUUAUCUCUAUUUUUAUAAUGAUCAACAUAAUUUUAGUUUGUCGUCCACCUUCCAAGUACAUAUCGGCUGAUCCAAAUGUUUGUAGCUGCUCUUGUCGCAUGCUUUUAUUCUUGACAUAGUUUAUUCAGCAUACUAUUACAGUCACUGCUUGCUUCUUGUUAUCGAUAUGGUUGAAUUUAGACUAGAUUCAUGUCCUCGUAGUGGUGCAAAGUUAACUUUCCAAGCCCAAGUCGUUUUUUCAGUUUGUGAUCCCUACUUGGUCUCUCCAGUCACAUAACAGGUGUAACAAGCUACUGAUUAAAGAAAAUGCAGAGCAUACAUUACAAGUUUGUUUUUACAUCACAAGUCCUAGUAAGAUCAUUAUUAGCUUUCCACAGAACAACACCUUAAACAAAAUUCACACUGCAAAAUUUUGCAUCGUUUAUUCUUGUUUAGAACCAUUACAAAAUUAAAAUAUAGAACUAUCAUAUACGAGACAUUGACAAGUGGAAUGGCUAUUGACUGUAACUAGCUACAAGCGAUAUCGUGGUACAUUAACCGGUUAAAUCGUAUAGUUCCCGUUCCCGGUUAAGCGUGGUUUCCACCAUCACAUCAUUCCAUGAAUCAAUUGGACCAGGUAAGCACCAAUGCAGACAAUCAUUCUGAACAUUGCUCUUAUUCUUAACUCCAGCAAAAGGAUUUGGAUGCCGGUAUGGUCCCGGAUGCCCGUCUGGACGGAGAAGAGACAUUCCAGUCGUGUCUAAUAGCCUGAUGUUGGAACCUAAGCCAAAACCUUUCCCAAAUUUCUGAAACACCUCAAGCUCAACAUCACGCAUCACAUCAUCUACAGUUUUCAUAUUUGCUUGGCCUUCUUUAAACGGCAUCGUUCUGUUGCAAUACCCACCAGUGUUCCACUCUCCGUUUUCGAAAUGGUCAGGCGUUGUUGUUCGAAACAGAACCAGCGGUUUGUGGGUUGAGUUUAGGACGAAGUCACGGAGAAGGUUUAGGGUUUUGCGGUAGGAGUAAUCAUAGCCGAGAUCAGUUAGGUUGUUUCUUCCUUGGCAGUAAUGACAGCCCGUGACUACGUUGUUUUCAUGGAAAAUUGUUGUUUUAAGAAACCAUUUGCCUCCAGAGAUAACAACGUAGUCGAAUUUCGGGUAUUGGACAGUCCAUUUGUGGUCAAGCUGGUCGAGGUAAAGCUGAAUAUCCGAGUUGCUAGAUGUUUCGGAUUUGAGAAGGAAAGGAGACCAAAUGACUGAUAGUGUGAAGUUGUGAGAAGGGAAUCUCCAUAUCUUGGAUCUGAACUCCUUAUCGUGAUAGAUUUCCUCCACUUCUUCCACCUGAGACAGUUAAAUCAAAGGUCUUGAUUACUUACUUGUAGUCUAAGGAAACUUUCAUUAACACAAAAACCAAACUCAUUCUCUGAAUAAAAGAAUCAACAAACCUGAGAGAGAAUGCAGAUGAGAGACUGGACAUGAUUACGAGCAAUGGAAUCACCGAUAAAAGCCCACCAUUUGUUCUUCACUGAAGCAAGAAACUGCGAUGGACUAAACCUAGGAAGAUCACAAUCACGAGGCUUCCAUCUCCAGAAGAGAUAAUUCACAUCUGGUCGUCCAUUCAAUAGGCAGUUCUGAAAAUCUUGAAUGUGACGACAAGUGACAUUUGUGUACAGAGGACCUGUUGGAUCUGGUAUCCAAUCUCCGGUGAAAAGAUCACACUUUGCUGAUGAAACUACAAAAAUGAAAUCACAAAUAGACAUUUAAUCAAAUACAUGGUAAACACAAACACUUUAAACCCUAAAUUACAAGUUUUGAUCGAAAGCUUCGAAAUUUCCAAAAUUAAACCCAACCCAACAAUCAUUGAAUCUCCAUAUUUGGAAAGAUUCUCGAAUCUUUAUCAAAGAUCAAAUUCGAAAUUGAAGGACAACGAACUGCGAAAGAAAGAUUACCGUUUCCGGGAGAAGAUUGCGGCAAUGUUGGGGGAAUUGGAGAGACGGCGAGACUGGAGAUGAUGAAAUAGUAAGCAAGAGCGACGAGAGAGAAGUAAAGGAAGAAUUUGACGAAGGUUCGAUGGCGGUGAUCAGUGCAGGAGGGAACAGAAGAAGAAGAAGAAGAAGAAGAAGAAGAAGCGGCUUCUUCAAAGGUUUCUACAUAUUUGGCGCCUUUUGGGCUAUCAAGCAAUACUAAGGUUAAUUGUUGUUCCAUUGAAGAAGAGAGCACAGUGAAUUUGGUGGAAGCUAUUCAAUGAUUUUAUAGUUGGACUCGUGAGAAUGAGAUGGUUAGGUUUGAGAUUAACUUUUAGGAUCUUUGUGACCAUGAAAGUGAUGUUUUGUUACCCUUUUUUACUUUUAUUAAAUGCAGGAAUAAUAAUUUUGUGAAUUUCAGACAGUCUAUUUAUUAAUUACUGCAGAAAAAGUAAUUUUAUUGAUACAAAAUAUUUUGUCUCAAUAGAAACAUAUUUGUAACAGUAAAAACUAUUGUCAUGAAUUUGUGACAAGUAGUAAAUUGUAGUGAUACAAUCGUUACAAAAAAAUAUGGUAUUAAAAAGUCACACCAUUGUGAGAUAUACAAUAUAUUUGAUUACAAUUUUGUCACAAACAACGACAAGAAAGAAGAAUAACAAAACCGUAACAAUUACAGAUUUGAAUUAUACUUUCGAACUGUCAUAUUAUAUUUUUUCUGUUCCUUUUUAUUUGAUUUUUUUGGAAAAAUAUUUGUUUUAAAAAGAUUGAUUUUGUAAAUUUUCUAUUCAAUAUUUAUUAGUUAUUAUUAAUAAAUUGUAAAUUUUAAUAGUUCAAUCAUUGGUUUAAAAUAAUAAAAAAUUGUAAAACACAAAAAAAUAAUAUAUUUAAUAUCAAUUUUAAUAUAUUUUUUUUAAUAUGUGUAUUUUUCCUAAAAUAUCAAAUAAAAAUGAAAAGAGGGAAUAUUAUAGUACAACUAUUCACACACCAUGCAACAUUGAAUAUACUGCGACAUUGAAUAUACCAUCACCCUGGAAUUAUGUUAACCACAGUCAACAAAAAAGAAAAAGUUAAUUAGCUCUGUGUAAGAAAAAAAAAAAGAAAAAUUUAAUUAGCAUUGUUGUUCCAAGAUUUUUUUUUGUCCAAGAAGCAUAUAUGAUUAUAGGCUAAAUUGUUGGGCAUUCUUUUAAGUUAUAACAAAUAUUUUUGUAGAUUUCUUUGUGACAGCAAUAUAUAUUGGAAAUGGAAUAAAGAAUAUUUCAGGAUUUGUUUUUUACAAUUAUGACUUUUGAUAGUGAAAUUCUGAUUAAAAAAUUCAGAAAAGUUUUUUUUUUUCAACUUUGCUUGAGGAAUCCAAAAAUAUGUUGGACCAGCCCAGAUGGUCUCAUUGUCCUUGUGUUUAUUAAUCACAUAUUAGUAAUAACUUGAGUUUUUUUCUUUUAAUUUAUGUGAAGAAGCACAUGCCCUGCUUUUGGUCCUCACACCUUUUAUCUCAACUUAGGUGGUAUACUUGUAUCUCCACAGCCUUUCGUUACAACAAUAUCAACCUUUCUCUUGAAUCUUGGAACUUAGCAAACACGGAAGCACCACACUUUUUGAUGAUAUAUUGGGUUAUUCAAAACAUUGCUAUGUUUGUGAAUUCAUGAGACUUAUUAGUUAUUAGAAUGAUGCAGGUAACUAGUUUAAAUAUUUGGUAUAAGUUUAACAAUGGUAGAAUUGGUUUUUAACAUUUGCGUGAAUGAACUAACACUAGUGUUAGUAUAUAAAGAGAUAUGAAACAUUCUAGUGACUCCAAUUAUUGCUAAUAAUAUUUUAUUUUAUUUCUUCAUUGCUAAAAUUUUUUUGUAUUGAGAAUUUCUUGAUUCCUCACAAUUUUAUUAUUAGUGGACAACUUCUGCUUACUCGUUUUUCUCAUGCUCGCUACUAGUUAGUAUCUUUUUGUUCUUACUCUAAUUUUGUAUUUUUCUAAGAAAUAUUGAAACAUGAAAACUAAACGAACGGACCACGAGGCCUGUUAAGAACAGAUUCUCUUUCUUGUUUGAUAUUGAUAUUGAUAUUGGGCCCAUGAGUAAGUUAUAAUCUGUUGUCUUGUAUUUUAGGAAGGACCCACUUCAGAAACGUGCAAAAACUAGUCCAUCAGCCAAGAGAGGAAUUAGCAGACAAUAUGAACAUUUUAGUGGAAAGAAAGAUGAAACCGGAUAACUAACCGAUAGAUAGAUAAUCCCAAUCCAUAAUUCACCUAGAACUCGAGGAAAGGGCAAAUCAAGCCUAGAAGCUAAUCAUGAAGAAAGAAAGAUCAGCUAGGAGAACAUUGUUUAAUUGAAUUGUUGAGUAUGGUCGAAUGACCUACAUAUAUUGUUGCUGACAUGAAAGAAACCUACAAACCAAAACC